rnacentral:rRNA from 1 species
UACAGAGGGGGCAAGCGUUGUUCGGAAUUACUGGGCGUAAAGGGCGCGUAGGCGGCCCGCUAAGUCGAACGUGAAAUCCCCGAGCUCAACUCGGGAACUGCGUCCGAUACUGGCGGGCUUGAAUCCGGGAGAGGGAUGCGGAAUUCCAGGUGUAGCGGUGAAAUGCGUAGAUAUCUGGAGGAAUACCGGUGGCGAAGGCGGCAUCCUGGACCGGCAUUGACGCUGAUGAGCGAAAGCUAGGGGAGCAAACGGG